GAUUAUUGUAGCAUGGUCCUGUCACGCAGGAUCCAUUCAAUAAACAUAAGGCAGAUACCUUUUGAAAUUGUUCUGUCAACAAGAAUUUAAGGAACACUGAGCACCAGUUCUAGACACUGAGGGAGAAAGAAAGAAGAAGAAUGCCAUCCCGAUGGCAUAGAAGACAACGCCUCUACUGCCAGCCUCUUGCUUCUCUGAUUCACUAAAGAAUGUUUGGCUCGAUAAAUAUUCACCCAGUGAUUAUAGGAUUAACUACAACCCGCAGGAAGAAGGGCAAUAAACCCAAGGAAAGAAAAGAAAGAGAUCAGCAAUCAUGGUUAUAUGCACUUGAGGCCAGAAUCUGCGUUUAUUUCCUGAGGAUUAUACAGUGGACUCAUGUGUUUGUUCAAUGCAUGAACAAAUAUAUAAAUCAAUGGUUUUGCUUGAUUUCCUUCCUGGAACAUUUCUAUUUCUUUAUUGGUAUUAGAUAACUCUAACUGCUUGAAGCAUUCUGUGUGAUAGAUUCAAGUGGAUUUAUACAAGGCUAAGAUGAGAUUUUGUAGUUUGUAUCUGACAGUGUCCAACAUUUAAUUGGUCACUUAACAUUGCAGUAGUGCUUUGAACUGGAGUCUUCUUAGAAAGGAUGAGCCCUUUCCUGGGUCAGAACUGGAGAUCUCUGCUUGUCAUCUCAAGAUGGAGUAUGGCUAUUUCUCUCAUAAGUGCAUUACUUUCCUUAACUUU
rnacentral:lncRNA from 12 species